rnacentral:rRNA from 1 species
AGAGUUUGAUCCUGGCUCAGGAUGAACGCUAGCUACAGGCUUAACACAUGCAAGUCGAGGGGAAACGACAUCGAAAGCUUGCUUUUGAUGGGCGUCGACCGGCGCACGGGUGAGUAACGCGUAUCCAACCUGCCCAUCACUUGGGGAUAACCUUGCGAAAGUAAGACUAAUACCCGAUGAUAUCUCUAGACGACAUCUGAAAGGGAUUAAAGAUUUAUCGGUGAUGGAUGGGGAUGCGUCUGAUUAGCUUGUUGGCGGGGUAACGGCCCACCAAGGCAACGAUCAGUAGGGGUUCUGAGAGGAAGGUCCCCCACAUUGGAACUGAGACACGGUCCAAACUCCUACGGGAGGCAGCAGUGAGGAAUAUUGGUCAAUGGGCGAGAGCCUGAACCAGCCAAGUAGCGUGCAGGACGACGGCCCUAUGGGUUGUAAACUGCUUUUAUAAGGGAAUAAAGUGAGUCUCGUGAGACUUUUUGCAUGUACCUUAUGAAUAAGGACCGGCUAAUUCCGUGCCAGCAGCCGCGGUAAUACGGAAGGUCCGGGCGUUAUCCGGAUUUAUUGGGUUUAAAGGGAGCGUAGGCCGGAGAUUAAGCGUGUUGUGAAAUGUAGGCGCUCAACGUCUGCACUGCAGCGCGAACUGGCUUCCUUGAGUACGCACAAAGUGGGCGGAAUUCGUGGUGUAGCGGUGAAAUGCUUAGAUAUCACGAAGAACUCCGAUUGCGAAGGCAGCUCACUGGAGCGCAACUGACGCUGAAGCUCGAAAGUGCGGGUAUCGAACAGGAUUAGAUACCCUGGUAGUCCGCACGGUAAACGAUGGAUGCCCGCUGUUGGCCUGAAUAGGUCAGCGGCCAAGCGAAAGCAUUAAGCAUCCCACCUGGGGAGUACGCCGGCAACGGUGAAACUCAAAGGAAUUGACGGGGGCCCGCACAAGCGGAGGAACAUGUGGUUUAAUUCGAUGAUACGCGAGGAACCUUACCCGGGCUUGAAUUGCAGAGGAAGGAUUUGGAGACAAUGACGCCCUUCGGGGCCUCUGUGAAGGUGCUGCAUGGUUGUCGUCAGCUCGUGCCGUGAGGUGUCGGCUUAAGUGCCAUAACGAGCGCAACCCCUCUCCUUAGUUGCCAUCAGGUCAUGCGGGGCACUCUGGGGACACUGCCACCGUAAGGUGUGAGGAAGGUGGGGAUGACGUCAAAUCAGCACGGCCCUUACGUCCGGGGCUACACACGUGUUACAA